AGCUGGGCAGGUGCCUCGGUGCUCGCAGGAGGCAAGGGAGCUGCUGGUGGUGGUGGAGGUGGAGGAGGUGGAGGUAAUGCAGAUAUCCCUGUGGAGGAAAAGGGGGACAAUCAGUAUUCACCUCCACAGCUGCCCUGCACACACGCUGCUGCUCAGUCCUGAGCACAACGGACUGGUGAGAGUCCACAUGUUUUUCUCAGAGGGACCAACAUACCUAGUACUGUAUGAGUUCUUAAAAUACUAAAGAAAGCUAGAAGCAUCAAAGGGGAAUUAAAAGUUGCCAUGUUUCUCAAACAAUAGUCAUGUUAAAGGCUGUUGGAACAAAUAAUUACAGAUUACAUGAAACCACAUAUGGUGACAUUCUCUGCAUAGAUGAGGCUCUGACCCCAUUUGCAAAGUAAUAGUCCCCAAAGAAGAGUUCCAUCUAUCAGUUACUUUAGCCAGGUCCCAGGAAGCUCUGUCUGCUUCUGAGCUAGCAAUUAAAGAUAGACAUCUGCAUGAUGGAGUUGGGCUUCCUGAAUGUCAGUUAUUCAUAAGGGGUGAACAGUUCUUUCGCUGCUCCAACAUACACAAUGUUUGAAGGAUGUGAUCUUAUGUAAAAUGACAGACCACUCAGGAUUCUCAGCAAGGAAUCAGUGCCUCCUGGGUUAUGCAUUUCCCAGAGGAGUCUGUCUCGAAUAAUAAUUUCCUAUUAGGUUGCAUUAAAGAAAUAUAAAAUGCUAAUAACUGUUAGCAAUGCAAAGCAGGGGGCAGAGGGGUCUCUCUGCCAUGGUAUUCUUACAGAGAAAUCCUUCUCAAGUACUGUUCUCUCCAUUGUGGCCCAACCAAGGAACAGGACAUAACUGCACUAAAUGUCUUUGACGAAGCAUCAGGAGAAACUAGAAUGUCGUGCUGUACCGCAGUGGGCAAGGAGAGGGAAACUGGGCAGGUGUCUAAAACUUCCCUCAGCUUCCAGGCACAUGGACAUUUGCAACUCGAAUUUUAUAUUUUAGAAUCAAUGAAUGGUUCUCUCAGGACAGAAUAAACACCCGAGUUCAGAAAAAGCCUUGCCUUAAAGAAUGUUCCUGUGCCACAGUUAGUUGCCUCGUCUCCUGUGACCUUGCAGCUCUCUGAGACUCUGUCAGAUGCUGUCUCUGUCCCUCCCAGGGCUACUCCAGGGAGACAUUCUGCCAGGUGGUUUCCCCUACACUGCUACUGAGUUGUGAUAAGUAACAGGUAAAGCUACCCUACUUAAGUUUGUAUGGACGACUGGCUCAGAAUCACCAACACAAUACUCAGGUAAGUACAUCCUUUUCACCAAGUGUGACAGGUAUGGGUUAAAGUCUUACAAUAGAAAAUCACUUACCUUUCUUUACAUCUUUUACUCAAACCUAAGGCAGCUGAAAUUAAAGAAUCACACAAAUACACACGCUCAUGCUCUGCAAUCUUGGAAUGCUCAAAGAUAGCAAUACAAAUAAAGACUAAAUACAGACAAAUGACCAACAUGUUCAUUGGUUCUACACAAUAACAACUGAUGAAUGAAAUUGUUAUGUUUUAUGCUAAGGUGGAUUGUGGGAAAAUGUUCCUGGCUUUAUGUCACCAGGUUACAGAGAUAAAAAGGACUUUAAACCUGAAGUAACUGUUGAAGUGGGAAAACGGAGAAUAAGCAUGUGUGAUGAGCAUUCCUCUGAAGAGGACUUCUGGAGAGCAACCAGUGAAAUACCAGGAGGAGGGGAGACCUCUGCUGAAGGUUUUUGGAACUGAGUCUCUUGACUGCAACACCAAGUGGGCCCGAAGGAGUGAGCUCUGCCCACUUGGGGCUUCCUGAAAGGUCCGUUGGGGCUUCAGCUACAACACAUGGCUAACAAUGGAGGAAGAGGGGGCAGGGGCAACAAGGGCCAAAUGAAAGUUACCAUUUGGCCUGUGACAAACCUGGGAACAACUGCCUGCUGCCUGCGCGCUCUCCACCCCUCAGAUGUGAAUGAGGCCUUCCUGCCAAGAGACCUCCAAUACCCUUAUCUCCAGGCCACAUAUGAGAGCAGACCGAUUCCAUGUUAGACUUAUGAUACCUGAAUUUGCACCCAGGAAGGGGGAUGCUGCAAACAGCUUACCUUCAGUUACGACCAGGUCAGUCCCGAUUUCUCCCAUCUCACUUUCUCUUAGACAAAAUCCCUGAGAGCCAACUACUUACUCUACCCACCCCAAAAUCUUCUCCACCAAACCACACGGGAACCUGGCAGUCCAGCAGAGGCCCUGUCAGAGGGCAGAGAAUGCUGCAGGGAGAGCGUAGGUCAGAUCUAGGGAGGAAUGCCAGGCCAGAAACCCCCUUGACAGCCUUGUGGACAGGAUGUCUGAGGGUCCCUCCCUCCAGUUCCUUUUUUUCUGAGAUGGAGUCUCGCUCUGUUGCCCAGGCUGGAGUGCAGUGGCGCGAUCUCGGCUCACUGCAAGCUCCGCCUCCCGGGUUCAAGUGAUUCUCUGCCUCAGCCUCCCGAGUAGCUGGGAUUACAGGCGCGUGGUACCAUGCCCACCUAAUUUUUGUAUUUUUAGUACAGAUGGGGUUUCACCAUGUUGGCCAGGUUGGUCUUGAACUCCUGAUCCUUGUGAUCCGCCCGCCUCAGCCUCCCAAAGUGCUGAGAUUAUAGAUGUGAGCCACUGCGCCUGGCUCCCUUCCCCACCGACUCUUAGGCCCAUGUUAGCAGCCAGCAGUGGGUAAUCUACAGUCUCUCUAAUUCUGAGCUCCUUUGUGGUCACAUACAGGAAGGGAGGCCAAGUGGCCAUGAGACCACACUAGGGUAACACCAGACUUACCAGCCACCCUCAGGAGAGAACCGAAGCAGGCAAGCCCCCAGCUCUCGGGAGAACCACCUUCUCCUUUGGCUUCAGGCAGGUGAGGAGGCUGUACUCCUGUCACAGCUCGAGAAUUAUAAAGGAUGCUUACAAAAGAACUGUUUUUCCCUACCGUCAGUUAUAAAAGCCAGUAAGUUGUCUCCCUGUAACUAAGAGCUCAAGUGCCUAACACUCUUUCCUCUUCAUCAGAGUAACUAGGAAUCAACAUUUUUGCAGCAACGGGACUUUGAGAGUUAUGGUUUCCAAAAUUAAAAU
rnacentral:lncRNA from 10 species